GCAUUCGUGGUGUAACCGAAAAGUACAUCCGGCUAGGAACUGGAAGGUCCGGAGUUCGAAUCUCGGCGAGGGCA
rnacentral:tRNA from 1 species